rnacentral:rRNA from 1 species
CAAGCGAACAAGUGCAUGUGGUGGAUGCCUUGGCGAUCACAGGCGAUGAAGGACGCGGUAGCCUGCGAAAAGCUACGGGGAGCUGGCAAACGAGCUUUGAUCCGUAGAUGUCCGAAUGGGGAAACCCGGCCCUUUUGGGUCAUCCUAGACUGAAUACAUAGGUCUAGUGAAGCGAACGCGGUGAACUGAAACAUCUAAGUAACCGCAGGAAAAGAAAUCAACCGAGAUUCCCAAAGUAGUGGCGAGCGAAAUGGGAAGAGCCUGUACUCUUUAUUUGUAUUGUUAGCCGAACGCUCUGGAAAGUGCGGCCAUAGCAGGUGAUAGCCCUGUAGGCGAAAACAGUAUGAAAGAACUAGGUGUACGACAAGUAGGGCGGGACACGUGAAAUCCUGUCUGAAGAUGGGGGGACCAUCCUCCAAGGCUAAAUACUCGUGAUCGACCGAUAGUGAACCAGUACCGUGAGGGAAAGGCGAAAAGAACCCCGGGAGGGGAGUGAAAUAGAUCCUGAAACCGCAUGCAUACAAACAGUCGGAGCCUCGCAAGGGGUGACGGCGUACCUUUUGUAUAAUGGGUCAGCGACUUACGUUCAGUAGCAAGCUUAACCGAAUAGGGCAGGCGUAGCGAAAGCGAGUCCGAAUAGGGCGUUCAGUUGCUGGGCGUAGACCCGAAACCAGGUGAUCUAUCCAUGGCCAGGAUGAAGGUGCGGUAACACGUACUGGAGGUCCGAACCCACUAACGUUGAAAAGUUAGGGGAUGAGCUGUGGAUAGGGGUGAAAGGCUAAACAAACCUGGAAAUAGCUGGUUCUCUCCGAAAACUAUUUAGGUAGUGCCUCGUGUCUCACCUUCGGGGGUAGAGCACUGUCAUGGUUGGGGGGUCUAUUGCAGAUUACCCCGCCAUAGCAAACUCCGAAUACCGAAGAGUGCAAUCACGGGAGACAGACAUCGGGUGCUAACGUCCGGUGUCAAGAGGGAAACAACCCAGACCGCCAGCUAAGGUCCCCAAAUAUGGCUAAGUGGGAAACGAAGUGGGAAGGCUAAAACAGUCAGGAGGUUGGCUUAGAAGCAGCCACCCUUUAAAGAAAGCGUAAUAGCUCACUGAUCGAGUCGUCCUGCGCGGAAGAUGUAACGGGGCUAAGCCAUAUACCGAAGCUGCGGAUGCGAGCUAGUCUCGCAUGGUAGGAGAGCGUUCCGUAAGCCUGCGAAGGUGCGUUGAAAAGCGUGCUGGAGGUAUCGGAAGUGCGAAUGCUGACAUGAGUAGCGAUAAAGGGGGUGAAAGGCCCCCUCGCCGUAAGCCCAAGGUUUCCUACGCAACGUUCAUCGGCGUAGGGUGAGUCGGCCCCUAAGGCGAGGCAGAAAUGCGUAGCUGAUGGGAAGCAGGUCAAUAUUCCUGCACCAUUGUUAGAUGCGAUGGGGGGACGGAUCGCGGAAGGUUGUCCGGGUGUUGGAAGUCCCGGUCGCUGCAUUGGAGAAGGCGCUUAGGCAAAUCCGGGCGCAGGAUUCAAGGGUGUGGCGCGAGCKCYYUMGGGMGCGAAGCAAUUGGAAGUGGUUCCAAGAAAAGCCUCUAAGCUUCAGUCUAACGAUGACCGUACCGCAAACCGACACAGGUGGGCGAGAUGAGUAUUCUAAGGCGCUUGAGAGAACUCGGGAGAAGGAACUCGGCAAAUUGGUACCGUAACUUCGGGAUAAGGUACGCCCUGGUAGCUUGACUGGCCUGCGCCAGAAGGGUGAAGGGGUUGCAAUAAACUGGUGGCUGCGACUGUUUAAUAAAAACACAGCACUCUGCAAACACGAAAGUGGACGUAUAGGGUGUGACGCCUGCCCGGUGCCGGAAGAUUAAAUGAUGGGGUGCAAGCUCUUGAUUGAAGUCCCGGUAAACGGCGGCCGUAACUAUAACGGUCCUAAGGUAGCGAAAUUCCUUGUCGGGUAAGUUCCGACCUGCACGAAUGGCGUAACGAUGGCCACACUGUCUCCUCCCGAGACUCAGCGAAGUUGAAGUGUUUGUGAUGAUGCAAUCUACCCGCGGCUAGACGGAAAGACCCCAUGAACCUUUACUGUAGCUUUGCAUUGGACUUUGAACCGAUCUGUGUAGGAUAGGUGGGAGGCUAUGAAACCGGAACGCUAGUUUCGGUGGAGCCGUCCUUGAAAUACCACCCUGGUUUGUUUGAGGUUCUAACCUUGGCCCGUGAUCCGGGUCGGGGACAGUGCAUGGUAGGCAGUUUGACUGGGGCGGUCUCCUCCCAAAGCGUAACGGAGGAGUACGAAGGUACGCUAGGUACGGUCGGAAAUCGUGCUGAUAGUGCAAUGGCAUAAGCGUGCUUAACUGCGAGACCGACAAGUCGAGCAGGUGCGAAAGCAGGUCAUAGUGAUCCGGUGGUUCUGUAUGGAAGGGCCAUCGCUCAACGGAUAAAAGGUACUCUGGGGAUAACAGGCUGAUACCGCCCAAGAGUUCAUAUCGACGGCGGUGUUUGGCACCUCGAUGUCGGCUCAUCUCAUCCUGGGGCUGUAGCCGGUCCCAAGGGUAUGGCUGUUCGCCAUUUAAAGAGGUACGUGAGCUGGGUUUAAAACGUCGUGAGACAGUUUGGUCCCUAUCUGCCGUGGGCGUUGGAAGUUUGAAGGGGGCUGCUCCUAGUACGAGAGGACCGGAGUGGACGAACCUCUGGUGUACCGGUUGUGACGCCAGUCGCAUCGCCGGGUAGCUAUGUUCGGAAGAGAUAACCGCUGAAAGCAUCUAAGCGGGAAACUCGCCUUAAGAUGAGACUUCCCCGGGGACUUGAUCCCCUUGAAGGGUCGUUCGAGACCAGGACGUUGAUAGGUCGGGUGUGUAAGCGCAGUAAUGCGUUCAGCUAACCGAUACUAAUUGCCCGUACGGCUUGAUCC